rnacentral:rRNA from 1 species
UACGAAGGGGGCUAGCGUUGCUCGGAAUCACUGGGCGUAAAGGGCGCGUAGGCGGCGUUUUAAGUCGGGGGUGAAAGCCUGUGGCUCAACCACAGAAUGGCCUUCGAUACUGGCGAUCUCGAGUCCGGAAGAGGUGAGUGGAACUCCUAGUGUAGAGGUGGAAUUCGUAGAUAUUCGCAAGAACACCAGUGGCGAAGGCGGCUCACUGGCCCAUAACUGACGCUGAGGCACGAAAGCGUGGGGAGCAAACAGG